rnacentral:rRNA from 1 species
UGCGUAUGGUGCAAGCGUUAUCCGGAAUGACUGGGUGUAAAGGGAGCGUAGACGGUUGUACAAGUCUGAUGUGAAAGCCCACGGCUCAACUGUGGGAGUGCAUUGGAAACUGUAGAACUAGAGUAUCGGAGAGGCAAGUGGAAUUCCUAGUGUAGCGGUGAAAUGCGUAGAUAUUAGGAGGAACACCAGUGGCGAAGGCGGCUUGCUGGACGAAAACUGACGUUGAGGCUCGAAAGCGUGGGGAGCAAACAGG